GGCACCCCUCCCUCCCCUCCCCUAACAGCCGCUUCGCGUGUGCGGAGAAUGAGGAGGACAUUCACUCCCUACGCCCUCGGGAAUCCCUGGGUGGAGGACAGCGUGUGCUGUUGCCGUGAUCACCACGCUGGACCUUAGACCCAGAAAUCACCCAUCGUGGGACCAGGAGUUUGCACUGUUUGACCAGCAUCUUCCCCAGCAGCUGCCCCCACUCUGUGCCUCCCUGUUCUGCUCUGUGGGAUUCCGCGAGCGCCCGUCUGUCUGCGAGUGCCAGGCUGGCCCCUCCACGGGGUCUUGGUCUUCCCGUGUGAAGGGUGGGGGGAGGGCGCGGGGCACGUCUCCCCUCCAGUAGGGGGCAGGCUUCUGUUCAGAAUGAAUGGUCCUGUCGUGGGGCAAAUUCACCUGUCACACUGGAUGUUGAAAAUCCCUCCAGGACAUGGCGGUGCCACCCUCCUGAGUCUUCAGCCGACCCGUGCUUCUGCCAUUUUUUGUUUCACGUCUUCCACAUCGGCAAGAUGCUCGCCUUUGAGGACCUUCUUCAUCUGGGGAAACAAAAGUCGCUCAGGGCCGCCGGUAAGCGUGGCUCAGCUCAGACUUCAGGCCGCCCGUGCGCGGUCAGGGGCUCUCAGCCCCAGCAGGCUGCAUGGCGCGUUUGCGCCCAGAACUCCCCGGACUGCCCCGCCCUCCCGGCCGCAGAAUCUCUCCUUCACCCUGCAGGGGGUUGGAGAUCCCCCAAGUCCUCUCUACAGCUGUCUAAGCCGAAGUGUGGCUGCCCGGGGAGCCCCAGAGUGGCCUGCUCUCCGACGAAAAGUCCGGGAAAGGGGGCGCUCACCCACGGAGUCCCAUUCGUUUUUCGUCUGCUCCCUCCAGGUCGCCGCCCGCCUUUUUUAGGUCACCCUCUGCGGCCUGCUGACUUAAAAGUAGUCACUGGCUGAAGUUUUAUGUUUUUAUCGCUGGAGGGCUGACGCCCUCAGGGCUGUCUGUCUACAACCGGAAGUGGGCGAUCCAUCUGUUUCUGUUUUCCAACAUUUGGUUGCUGUUGACUUUCGCGCUUUGAUCCUCAGCUUCUGAACCCGUGCUAUUUUUAGCCCUCCGCUGCUAUGUUAAUGAGGUUUCGUGGGCAGCUGCUGGAAGUGCAUUUCUUCAAGCUGCCACUUUAAUCCAGUCUGCAGUGCUCUCUCUCUUCUGUAUGAUUUCCAAAAAGUUUCUGGGUUAAAGCAAGUGCACACUUUCAAGGCGGUGACAGUGCGACCGCAAGAGUGCGGGUCUGCGAGUGACUUGCCCUCCACCAGGAAGAGGGGCUGUUUGCAGAGGAGCCGGCCGGCUUCCCUGGCUCUGUGCAAGCAGGAAGGCCCACGGUCAUAUCCAGGAUGCGGCCAGGACCAGGGGCCCCUGGGCAGAACUCGGGUGGGAAGGCUUUAUCCAGUCCAAGACCCAAAGCAGGUUCCCUCACUUCAUAGAUUGACCUGAGACCCUUCGUCCUUUUGGAACAUCUAGCUCCUCACU